AGGGGAUCUUCGGACCUUUCGCUAUGAGAUGAGCCUGCGUUAGAUUAGCUAGUUGGUAGGGUAAAGGCCUACCAAGGCGACGAUCUAUAGCUGGUCUGAGAGGACGAUCAGCCACACUGGGACUGAGACACGGCCCAGACUCCUACGGGAGGCAGCAGUGGGGAAUAUUGGACAAUGGGCGAAAGCCUGAUCCAGCAAUACCGCGUGUGUGAAGAAGGCCUUAGGGUUGUAAAGCACUUUCAAUUGGGAGGAAAACCUGCCGGCCAAUACCCGGUAGCUUGACAUUACCUUUAGAAGAAGCACCGGCUAACUCCGUGCCAGCAGCCGCGGUAAUACGGAGGGUGCGAGCGUUAAUCGGAAUUACUGGGCGUAAAGCGUGCGUAGGCGGUUCGUUAAGUCAGAUGUGAAAGCCCUGGGCCCAACCUGGGAACUGCAUUUGAAACUGGCGGACUAGAGUUUAGUAGAGGGGAGUGGAAUUUCAGGUGUAGCGGUGAAAUGCGUAGAUAUCUGAAGGAACACCAGUGGCGAAGGCGACUCCCUGGACUAGAACUGACGCUGAGGUACGAAAGCGUGGGUAGCAAACAGGAUUAGAUACCCUGGUAGUCCACGCCGUAAACGAUGUCGACUAGC
rnacentral:rRNA from 1 species